UACCAGCUCUCCGAGUGGUAGGGAUGUUUAUUGGGCUUAAAGCGUCCGUAGCCGGCUUAGCAAGUCUCCUGUUAAAUUCAGCGACCUAAUCGUUGAGCCGCGGGAGAUACUACUAGGCUAGGAGGCGGGAGAGGUCAACGGUACUUCCGGGGUAGGGGUGAAAUCCUAUAAUCCCGGGAGGACCACCAGUGGCGAAGGCUGUUGACUAGAACGCGCUCGACGGUGAGGGACGAAAGCUGGGGGAGCGAACCGUAUUAGAUACCCGGGUAGUCCCAGCUGUAAACGAUGCGAGCUAGGUGUUGGGGUGGCUACGUGCCACUUCAGUGCCGCAGGGAAGCCAUUAAGCUCGCCGCCUGGGGAGUACGGCCGCAAGGCUGAAACUUAAAGGAAUUGGCGGGGGAGCACCACAAGGCGUGAAGCUUGCGGUUC
rnacentral:rRNA from 1 species